rnacentral:rRNA from 1 species
UACGUAUGUCGCAAGCGUUAUCCGGAAUUAUUGGGCGUAAAGCGCGUCUAGGCGGUUUUUCAAGUCUGAUGUUAAAGUGCGGGGCUCAACCCCGUGAUGCAUUGGAAACUGAUUAACUAGAGUACUGGAGAGGUGGGCGGAACUACAUGUGUAGAGGUGAAAUUCGUAGAUAUAUGUAGGAAUGCCGAUAGUGAAGACAGCUCACUGGACAGAUACUGACGCUAAAGCGCGAAAGCGUGGGGAGCAAACGGG